CUCGCACCCCGGGUGCCUUCCCCUCUUUUUGGGGGGUGGGUGCCCGUUGUGGGAGUGGCGGACGGGUGAGUAACACGUGAGUAACCUGCCCUGGGCGUGGGGAUAACCCUGGGAAACUGGGGCUAAUACCGGAUGGCUCGCAUGCCCCGCAUGGGGGGUGUGGGAAAGGUUCUCUCCUGUGAGGGGGGGUUCCGGCCUGGGAGGGGCUCGCGGCCCAUCAGCUUGUUGGUGCGGUGAGGGCGUACCAAGGCGAUGACGGGUAGCCGGCCUGAGAGGGUGAUCGGCCACACUGGGACUGAGACACGGCCCAGACUCCUACGGGAGGCAGCAGUGGGGAAUUUUGCGCAAUGGGCGGAAGCCUGACGCAGCGACGCCGUGUGGGGGAGGACGGCCUUCGGGUUGUAAACCCCUUUCGGCCCUGACGAAUGUGACGGUAGGGGCUAAAGAAGCGCCGGCUAACUACGUGCCAGCAGCCGCGGUAAUACGUAGGGCGCGAGCGUUGUCCGGAUUUACUGGGCGUAAAGGGCUCGUAGGCGGUUUGUCGCGUCGGUCGUGGAAAUGUGCGGCUUAACCGGGCACGUGCGGCCGAUACGGGCAGACUCGAGGGCGGUAGGGGCAAGCGGAAUUCCUGGUGUAGCGGUGAAAUGCGCAGAUAUCACGAGGAACACCGAUGGCGAAUGCAGCUUGCUG
rnacentral:rRNA from 1 species